CUGUUGUGAUUUCUUUUACCAUAGUCUAGUUUUGUCUCUUCUGUAAUUUGAAACCAAUGCCCUGCUUUGUGUCUGGCUUCUUUCACUCAGCAUGAUGUUCUGAAUCUCAUCCACGUGCAUGCAAAUAACACCUAACAUUUUUGAAUACUCCUGGUGCACCAGGCACAAUGCUCAAGUUACAUAUCUUUGUAAUAAUCCCAUGGUGCGUUUUUAACAUCUUCAUUUUGUAGCUGAGGAAAUGGAGAGCUAGAGAAGCUAAGUCACUUGCUCAGAGUAGCAUGGCUAGUAAGUUAAUCAUCGUGAUUCUAGCUCAAGUGUCUGUCUCCAGAGCCUGAGGCCUGAAGGAACCUUUUGCUUCUGUCUCCUGCACUGGGCAGGUCAAACACUGAGGCAGGUGAGACGUCAUUAAACACCUCUCCCAGGUCUGUCCUCAGCCUCCACACACUCCUUCUCAUUCUGUUUUUGCUCUCCUUGUACCUGGGCUAAAAUCUCAUUUUCUAUUCUCCUCUUGAAGGUGUCGCCUUCACCCACCCUCCACUCCAUGAGCUCUGGGGAGAAAAAAUAGAGCCCACAAGGGUGCCAUCCCUGCCCAGAGAGUUACUGCUCUGUCUCCACUCUCUGAAUGAUGACUGUGUGCAAAGCCUGACCCAUAAAUAUGGUUACAUUUCUCGGCCUGUCUACAGAAAGAAAGAUUAUCUACAGCUAUAAAAAAGGGUAGAGUGAAGUUAAAAAAAAAAUACAACUGCCACCCAGAUAACCCAAAUUAAACAAAAGCCUUUUCCAUCUCAGGUGACACCUGAUUCAAAAUGGAAUGCUUUGGAGGGUGUGAAGCUGUUAGUCACGUCUUACAGAUGAGUCCCAGAGCUACGCCCAGCUACACAUGUAGCUGAGCCUAUCAGAUCCGGUUGACAUUGGCUUUGAGGUCACUGGGUGGCCGGCCAUACACAGCUUGAUGAGGAAUGGGGACAACUGCAUCUGUUUAGAGUCUUCUGGGCUUCCUUCUACACCCAGUCCAGACCAAACUCCUUGAGAUCAAGGCCAGGAGAGAACCAUGUGGUUUCUUCAGGAAGCAGGACAGCAUUCAAGCAAGCUGUGCUAGCUCUCCUCCUUGCCUGCCCCACCACUGGAACCUGCCUGAAGGUGUCAGCAACCUCUUUGCAUCUCAGGAUGGAACCUGGAACAGCUCUGAGCCCAGUUCAGAAAAACCACCUUCUCCCAGAUGGAAAACGCAUCUGUCGGCUGCCUCCCUGAAGACGAUGCUUUCAGUCAAAUUGUCCAAAUCCUUGCUCGGCCACUGACCAGGCGCUUGACCUUGGGCUGGCUGCUUCACUUCUCUGAGCCCCAGAUUCCUCUUCUGUAAAGUGGGUGUGAUAGUAACAGCUGUCUCAUACAGUUGUUGGGAAG
rnacentral:lncRNA from 1 species